AUUGAACGCUGGCGGCAGGCCUAACACAUGCAAGUCGAACGAGUGGCGGACGGGUGAGUAAUGUCUGGGAAACUGCCCGAUGGAGGGGGAUAACUACUGGAAACGGUAGCUAAUACCGCAUACCAUCGGAUGUGCCCAGAUGGGAUUAGCUAGUUGGUGGGGUAACGGCUCACCUAGGCGACGAUCCCUAGCUGGUCUGAGAGGAUGACCAGCAAAACUGGAACUGAGAAACGGUCCAGACUCGUACGGGAGGCAGCAGUGGGGAAUAUUGCACAAGGGGCGCAAGCCUGAUGCAGCCAUGCCGCGUGUAUGAAGAAGGCCUUCGGGUUGUAAAGUACUUUCAGCGAGGAGGGGGGAAAAGAAGAAGAAGCACCGGCUAACUCCGUGCCAGCAGCCGCGGUAAUUG
rnacentral:rRNA from 1 species